UACAGAGGGUGCAAGCGUUGUUCGGAAUUACUGGGCGUAAAGCGCGUGUAGGCGGUCUGAUAAGUCGGUCGUGAAAUCCCUAGGCUUAACCUAGGAACUGCGAUCGAAACUGUCGGACUAGAGUAUCGGAGGGGGUGGCGGAAUUCCCGGUGUAGAGGUGAAAUUCGUAGAUAUCGGGAGGAACACCUGUGGCGAAGGCGGCCACCUGGAAGAUUACUGACGCUGAGACGCGAAAGCGUGGGGAGCAAACAGG
rnacentral:rRNA from 1 species